rnacentral:misc_RNA from 1 species
GUGAAUCAUCAAAUCUUUGAACGCAAAUUGCACUCUCUGGUAUUCCGGAGAGUAUGCCUGUUUGAGGGUCAGUUUAAAUAAAAAUCGGUGUGGUUGCUGCCUUUCGUGGUGACGCACCGGAUGUGGGUCGUCUUGCCUUCGGUUAAGUGACCUAAAAUUUUGCAUGAUUUUUUCGAACGUAUUUAAAUGAUUUACUUACUUUUUCCGUAUCGAAUACUUAGUUC